rnacentral:rRNA from 1 species
UACGUAGGGGGCAAGCGUUGUCCGGAUUUAUUGGGCGUAAAGAGCGUGUAGGCGGCUUCACAGGUCCGCUGUGAAAACUCGAGGCUCAACCUCGAGCUGUCGGUGGAAACCGUGUGGCUAGAGUCCGGAAGAGGAGAGUGGAAUUCCCGGUGUAGCGGUGAAAUGCGCAGAUAUCGGGAAGAACACCCGUGGCGAAGGCGGCUCUCUGGGAAGGUACUGACGCUGAGACGCGAAAGCGUGGGGAGCGAACAGG